UUAGGAGUGAAAGGCUAAUCAAGCGGGGAGAUAGCUGGUUCUCGCCGAAAUAUAUUGAGGUAUAGCCUCGGGUGAAUUGCGUCGGAGGUAGAGCACUGGAUGGGCUAGGGGUCCUACCAGAUUACCAAACCCAACCAAACUCCGAAUGCCGAUGACAACUGCCCGGGAGUCAGGCAGCGGGAGAUAAGUUCCGUUGCCGAGAGGGAAAGAGCCCAGAUCGUCAGCUAAGGUCCCUAAAUUUGCGCUAAGUGUAGAAGGAUGUGGAAACGCUUAGACAACCAGGAGGUUUGCUUAGAAGCAGCAAUCCUUUAAAGAAAGCGUAAUAGCUCACUGGUCAAGCGAGUCUGCGCCGAAAAUGUAACGGGGCUAAGCGCAAUACCGAAGCUACGGGUGUUCGUAAGAACGCGGUAGGCGAGCGUCGUGAGAGAGAUACACGGUGGACGGUGACGACCACUAACGGCUCUCACGAGUGAUUAUGCGGGCAUGAGUAGCGAUAAACCGGGUGAGAAACCCGGUCGCCGUAAGCCCAAGGUUUCCUGGGGAAGGAUAAUCCUCCUACGGGUUAGUCGAUACCUAAGCCGAGGCCGAGAGGCGUAGGCGAUGGAAAGCAGGUUAAUACUCCUGCACCACCAAGGGUAGCGUUGAAGUGAGCGGGGACGGAGAAGGGUAGCCCAGCACACCGCAUGGUUGUGUGUGUUCAAGCCCGUAGGCUGAGCUGUUAGGACCCGAUAGGGACAAACGACGACUCUUAAGGCCGAGAGGUGAUGAGGUCUGGCCCUAGGCCAGGACACUGGGUAAUCCCACGCUUCCUAGAAAAGCCGCGCGCAGAGCUUCUUUGGUGAUCGUACUGUAAACCGACUCAGGUGGGCGGGGUGAGAAUCCCAAGGCGCGUGAGAGAACCCUGGUUAAGGAACUCGCAAAUUGACACCGUAACUUCGGGAGAAGGUGUGCCUCUGGCGGUUAGCUGGUUUACCCAGCAAAGCUGUUGGAGGUCGCAGUGAAAUGGCGGUUGUGACUGUUUACUAAAAACACAGGACUCUGCGAAGUCGUAAGACGACGUAUAGGGUCUGAUGCCUGCCCGGUGCUGGAAGGUUAAGGGAAUAUGUCAGGGGCAACCCGAAGCAUUGAACCGAAGCCCCAGUAAACGGCGGCCGUAACGAUAACGGUCCUAAGGUAGCGAAAUUCCUUGUCGGGUAAGUUCCGACCUGCACGAGGGCAUAACAACAUCCGCACUGUCUCGACCAGGGACUCAGCGAAAUUGCAUUGGGGGUGAAGAUGCCCUCUACCCGCGGAAAGACGGAAAGACCCCAUGAACCUUCACUGCAACUUGGCAGUGAAAUUCGGGUUGAUCUGCGUAGGAUAGGUGGGAGGCUUUGAAGACGGGUUUCCGGAUUCGUCUGAGCCAACGUUGAAAUACCACCCUGAUUAAUCUGGAUUUCUAACCUACUUCCGUAAUCCGGAAGAGGGACACUGCCUGGUGGGCAGUUUGACUGGGGCGGUCGCCUCCUAAAUUGUAACG
rnacentral:rRNA from 1 species